rnacentral:rRNA from 1 species
AUUGAACGCUGGCGGCAUGCCUUACACAUGCGAGUCGAACGGCAGCACGGGAGCAAUCCUGGUGGCGAGUGGCGAACGGGUGAGUAAUAUAUCGGAACGUGCCCAGUCGUGGGGGAUAACGCAGCGAAAGCUGUGCUAAUACCGCAUACGAUCUAUGGAUGAAAGCGGGGGAUCGCAAGACCUCGCGCGAUUGGAGCGGCCGAUAUCAGAUUAGGUAGUUGGUGGGGUAAAGGCUCACCAAGCCGACGAGCUGUAGCUGGUCUGAGAGGACGACCAGCCGCGCUGUGACUGAGACACGGGCCAGACUCCUACGGGAGGCAGCAGGGGGGAAUUUUGGACAAUGGGCGCAAGCCUGAUCCAGCAAUGCCGCGUGCAGGAUGAAGGCCUUCGGGUUGGAAACUGCUUUUGAACGGAACGAAAAGGCUCUGGUUAAUACCUGGGGCACAUGACGGUACCGUAAGAAUAAGCACCGGCUAACUACGUGCCAGCAGCCGCCGUAAGAC